CUCAUGUUCCUUCCAAUAAUUUGCUAGGAGGUGGACCUGUCAAUAGGAAGGACAAAAAUUAUUAUUUACCACCAAUGCCCUCAAAAUAAUUAUUACUUAGAAAAUCCAAAACAACCAGUUGGAAGUUUCAGAACUCAAUCAACCCUGCCCCCCAUCCGACCCCCUCUCAGUUUUGAUUUGCCCAAGGACUCCUCAUAGUUGGUCCAGCCCAAACCAGUAAGAAACAUUAAAAAAAUAAUAAUAAUUAAAACUGCUGUGUCAUGUUGAUCUGGGUUGCUGGGAUACAGUGGUUGGUAGUUGGGGAGGCCCAGCAAGACCAGUAUUUUAAACCAGUAGCCAGGAGCUCGGAUGAUGAGGUCACAGGAUGUGUCAGCUUCCAAGCUUUGUGCUCAUCUAAGGCAGUUAUCCUGAAAAACCUUGGAUUUAUUCAGUAGUAACCCUCUGUCGCUACUCCCUGAUCUAAUUAACCUGUCUACGACACAGUUUCUUCAUCUGUAAAGGGGGCUAAUAAAAACGCUUACUUGGUGUGUUAAUUGUGAGGCUUCAUCUAUGACAACGCAAUUCAAAGUGCUUUACACAUUGCAAAGCACUACUUACAUAUUAGUUACUCGUUUUCCUAAGUGCGGCCACUUUUACGGAGGAGGAAAGUGCGGCCCACCAAGAUCAAACGUCUUCCCGAGGUCUCACGGCCAUGAGGGCAGAGCUUGCUCCGUUACCUGCACCCAUCAAACCCUCCCCAAUUUUCAAAGCCUGGUUCAAGCACAAGUCUUCCUCAGCCUGUCGCAGGGGGCCAAGAGCCCCAUGUCCCAGAUGAGGCGCACUGAGGCCUGCCCAGAGUCACAGGGGCAGGCCGGGUGUCAAAGCGGUUAGCACCGCGCCAGCUCGUUGUCGGCGCCCGGAAGCGUUGGUCUCCUUUCCUUUGGAUCCUGUUGGAACGGAAGCUCUACGAGGGCAGGAACUCUGCCUGUGUCGUCGUCCCCUCCUCCCCCUUACCCGCCCCCCCGGCCCCCCUCGUUCACUGUUGUAUCCACAGUGCCCAGAGCACUGGCAGUGGGCACGCAGUAAAUUACUUGAAUGAGUAACUCUUACUCCGGCCCUUCUGUAACUCUCUCACCUCAACUCGAGUCACCCUGGCCGCUCCCCAAAGGUCUUAGAGAAUAACUGGGGGAAGGCCAGACAGAAGGGAGUGAUAUGAUACAGAAGAGAGCACCCAGCCUGCAAAUCACCGAUGCAGGGGAGUUACUCGAUCCGCUUUAAGUGCUGGGAGGCGGUAAACUCCAUGAGGACAGAGCUGUUCACCUGUUUCCUCCGAAUCCAGCACGGUGCCUGGCACAGUAGCCAUUAAAUAAAUAUUUGAUGAAUAAAAUGCUUUGCCAUGAGCAGAUUCUCUGCCUGUGAGAUUCAUGGUUCCACUUUUAUAAAAAUUAAUAAAAGAUCAAGCAACUCAUGAAGGUUAUUCUUCCCAGCUCAUUUACUCUUCUGGGUGCUGCCACUCUAGUGUCUAAUAGGAUCGUAAUAACUACCACUUACUGUGCCCAGUGCG
rnacentral:lncRNA from 1 species